rnacentral:rRNA from 1 species
UUUAGUCAGGCAACGAGCGAGACCCACGCCCACAGUUGCCAGCGUACUCUCCGGAGUGACGGGUACACUGUGGGGACCGCCGCUGCUAAAGCGGAGGAAGGAAUGGGCAACGGUAGGUCAGUAUGCCCCGAAUAUCCCGGGCUACACGCGAGCUACAAUGGUUGGUACAAUGGGUAUCUACCCCGAAAGGGGAUGGGAAUCUCCUAAAACCAAUCUUAGUCCGGAUUGAGGGCUGCAACUCGCCCUCAUGAAGCUGGAAUCCGUAGUAAUCGCGUUUCAACAGAACGCGGUGAAUACGUCCCUGCUCCUUGCACA